CCUACGGGAGGCAGCAGUGAGGAAUAUUGGUCAAUGGGCGCGAGCCUGAACCAGCCAAGUCGCGUGAGGGAAGACGGCCCUACGGGUUGUAAACCUCUUUUGCCGGGGAGCAACGGGCGCACCGGUUGGCGCCCCGGAGAGUACCCGGAGAAAAAGCAUCGGCUAACUCCGUGCAAGCAGCCGCGGUAAUACGGGGGAUGCGAGCGUUAUCCGGAUUUAUGGGGUUUAAAGGGUGCGUAGGCGGAGCGUUAAGUCAGUGGUAAAAUUGAGGGGCUCAACCCCUUCCCGCCAUUGAAACUGGCGCUCUUGAGUGGAAGAGAAGUAUGCGGAAUGCGUGGUGUAGCGGUGAAAUGCAUAGAUAUCACGCAGAACCCCGAUUGCGAAGGCAGCAUGCCGGCUUCCUACUGACGCUGAAGCACGAAAGCGUGGGGAUCGAACAGGAUUAGAUACCCGAGUAGUC
rnacentral:rRNA from 1 species